UCGGAUGCAGUCUUGUCAUGAUUCACUACUAUCUAGUAUAUAGUUUAUCUGUCAUGUAACCUAAGCCUGCCUUCAGGAACAACUGUGUAAACCUGAAUGAAUCUAAAAAUGGAUUGUGAUAACACAUCUUCUACCAAACCUCAUGCAAGAGAUAACUGAGAUCCAGUUGACUUUGUCAGAGGAAGUAGAACACAACUUUGCUCCAUUCUGGUAGUAGUGAACCUGACUUCAGCAGUCAAGAGAAUUGUGUGAGAUUUACUAGAGCGCACAAUCAUGCAGAGUGCUGCUAUCCAGGCGUGUUGGGCUCUGCAUGCAUGAGAGGGCACCUAAGAACCACAGUCAAGACUCCUUUUUGUUG